rnacentral:rRNA from 1 species
ACAACGGAGAGUUUGAUCCUGGCUCAGGACGAACGCUAGCGGCGCGCUUAACACAUGCAAGUCGAACGCCAACGGUUGAUUUCGGUCGACCUAGUAGCGUGGCGAACGGGUGAGUAACGCGUAGGUAACUUGCCCUUGAGUGGGGAAUAAGCUCGGGAAACCGGGUAUAAUACCGCAUAUGUUCCUGAAAUCGCAUGAUUUUAGGAUUAAAGCCUUCGGGCGCUCAAGGAUAGGCCUGCGUCCUAUUAGCUUGUUGGUGAGGUAACGGCUCACCAAGGCUACGAUGGGUAGCUGGUCUGAGAGGACGAUCAGCCACACUGGGACUGAGAUACGGCCCAGACUCCUACGGGAGGCAGCAGUGAGGAAUAUUGCGCAAUGGACGAAAGUCUGACGCAGUGACGCCGCGUGUGCGAUGAAGCCCUUCGGGGUGUAAAGCACUGUCCAGAGGGACGAAUGCUCAUUUCGAUGAGAGAGACG